rnacentral:rRNA from 1 species
UGGUCAAGUUAUUAAGGGUGCAGGGGCGGAUGCCUUGGCACUAGGGAGCCGAUGAAGGACGUGAUAAGCUGCGAUAAGCUUCGGGGAGUUGCACGUAAACUUUGGAUCCGAAGAUUUCCGAAUGAGGAAACUCACUUAGAUGUAAUGUCUAAGUAUCAUGAGAUGAAUACAUAGCUUUAAAUGGAGGGGAAACUCAGGGACUGAAACUGGCUAGUACCGAAAGGAAGAGAAAAGAAAUUCGAUUUCCGGUAGAGAGCGGCGAGCGAAAGCGGCGUUAGCC